rnacentral:lncRNA from 1 species
CAGUUCCCACCUAUGAGUGAGAAUAUGCGGUGUUUGGUUUUUUGUUCUUGCGAUAGUUUACUGAGAAUGAUGAUUUCUAAUUUCAUCCAUGUCCCUACACGAACUUAUUCUAUUUUAAUAGAAUGUUCAGUAUCAGUGUUUUCACACUGAGAUUCUCUAGCUUAUUUUGCCAUAUUUAAAUUAAAAAGAAACAAAAAAUCCUGUUUGAUCAUGUGAAAAAUAUUUACUGAAAUGUGAAUAAAUUUAUGAUCAUUAAUUGCCUACUGAAAUAUUCCUGAAUAUUGCUCACCUUAUUAACAAGUAUAUAUGGAGACUGAAAAACAUGUAGAUCAUGCAAACAAGUGUAACUAACUAUACCAAAGAAACAAAAGUCCAUACUAAAUAUGUCCAUAAUUAAAUAAAAAAUGCUAAACAAGUUUUACCUAGAUAUUAUAAAAACAUAGAAAGGAAAACAUUUAGGAGAUGAUGAAGAAGCAGGAGAUUGGGAUGGGAGAUGUAAUUUGAUCUAAAUUCCCAUAUGCUUCUGUAAAAUCAAAAAUUCAUUUUGCAAUAUUAAUUUUGCUCUUAAGGUAGAGACUUUUAAAAUGACCAUUCUCAAUACUACAGCAAUUCUUCCCUGAUUUGCACAUAAAUGAAUUAAAGUGAAGAAAAAGCAGUAGAGGAGAGAAGACUAAAAUAAACCAGAUUGUAGCACCCUGUAAAGAGCUAAAAUCUCCAGUGUACAAACAACUGAUAGGAAAGAAGAGAAAAUCAGAACUAUAAAAAAGUGACAUAAGCUCAGAAAAUUACUCAUUUUUAAUUGUAUCAACAAAGAUAAUUUGUAAUUUUGAUCAUGCAAGCAUUAUAAUUACUGAUAAUUGGGCCUUUCAGCUUUUAAGUGCCUUCUCAAACAUGAGUUCUGCAUAUGGUUGUGCAGAAAUCAAAAUCUUAAAGAGAGAUGAGUAAAGUCAAGUUUGUAAUAUUAAUCUUAUAUUCUCAAUAUAGAUGCUAAUUAGUGCUCUGAAUGGUUGUGGUUAGAAAUCUUGUUGGUAUGAUGUAUCAGUGAUGUCACUGCAUUGAUGGAGACAGAAUAAUACAUAAUGGUGCAAUGUGGUGAUGGUAAGCUUUGUUACUCAAUAUUGUCAGGCACUUUAAGAAAAUCAGAAACAUUCAGGAUAGUGCCAAAGAAGAUCAGUUUUUCAAGACUCUAAAAUCAUAUUCAAUUAUAUGUGUAUGUAAUUAUAAAUAUGUGCAUCAUGGCUGACUUUGAGAAGAAUGCAGCGCCUUGCAAGUGCACUAUUUGAAUAGAGCUAAGGAGAACUAUAGUCUAAGGACUGCAAAAGUCUAGAUGGAGAAGACAAAAGCAAUGACACUUGUUUUCUCUACAGAACAAAUAGACAAAGAGGUGAAUGACAACAAAGAUGUUCAGAGAAACUUGAAAAAUAAGCUACGGUGUAGGUGUUAGAAAUAAAUAACGAAUGAAGAC